UCCGGAUUAACUCCGGCAGUCCCACUAGAGUGCCAAACUUAAUUGGGGCAACUAGUAGUAAGGGUUGCGCUCGUUGCGUCACUUAAGACAACAUCUCACGACACGAGCUGACGACAGCCAUGCAGCACCUGUGUCUGGGUUCCCGAAGGCACUCUACUAUCUCUAAUAGAUUCCCAGCAUGUCAAGAGCAGGUAAGGUUCUUCGCGUUGCAUCGAAUUAAUCCACAUCAUCCACCGCUUGUGCGGGUCCCCGUCAAUUCCUUUGAGUUUUAAUCUUGCGACCGUACUCCCCAGGCGGUCUACUUCUCGCGUUAGCUUCGCUACUUAGGUUUUACCCCCAACAGCAAGUAGACAUCGUUUAGGGCGUGGACUAC
rnacentral:misc_RNA from 1 species